UUCCGGAGGCUGUUAUCUGGCUCUUGGCGACAGAGCCGUACGGACUGCCGAACCGGCUGCAGGACGCAGCCGGUAGCCCUAAUCGACGCAUGGACGCGGCGUUUAGGGCGGUCGACAGUCCGUUAGGCGACGAGCUUAGAGCCAGUUCAGCCGGAGGAU
rfam:Peptococcaceae bacterium BRH_c4a BRHa_1001894, whole genome shotgun sequence.